AUUGAACGCUGGCGGCAUGCUUUACACAUGCAAGUCGAACGGCAGCGCGGGCUUCGGCCUGGCGGCGAGUGGCGAAUGGGUGAGUAAUGCAUCGGAACGUGCCCAGUAGUGGGGGAUAGCCCGGCGAAAGCCAGAUUAAUACCGCAUACGACCUGAGGGUGAAAGCGGGGGACCGAAAGGCCUCGCGCUAUUGGAGCGGCCGAUGUCGGAUUAGCUAGUUGGUGGGGUAAAGGCUUACCAAGGCGACGAUCCGUAGCUGGUCUGAGAGGACGACCAGCCACACUGGGACUGAGACACGGCCCAGACUCCUACGGGAGGCAGCAGUGGGGAAUUUUGGACAAUGGGGGCAACCCUGAUCCAGCCAUGCCGCGUGCGGGAAGAAGGCCUUCGGGUUGUAAACCGCUUUUGUUCGGGAAGAAAUCCUCUGGGCUAAUACCCCGGGGGGAUGACGGUACCGGAAGAAUAAGCACCGGCUAACUACGUG
rnacentral:rRNA from 1 species